rnacentral:tmRNA from 1 species
GGGGAUGCGUGGUCUCGACAGGGCAGGCGAACGUGGCGUUGCGCGUCGAGGAUGUCGCCUUACCUCGCAAAUCAUGGCGGCGGCAGACAACUGCCAAGACAAAUUACGCACUCGCUGCUUAACCGCUAGCGAGCGCGGCCCGGGUUUCCGCCUCACAGACCUGGAGCCGCGCCAAGCGUGAGGCUGCGGUCCGGCGAGUGGCCGGUAGUCGGACCUAAGUCUUCGGCCUGGUGUCCCGCGAAGCCCGUCCGUGGGCGUCGCGGGCGCGAGAACGAAUCGCGGACUACACGCGUAGGAACGCCGCGCUCAAUGGCUCUGGACGGGGAGUUCGACUCUCCCCCAUCUCCACAG